UACGUAGGUGGCAAGCGUUAUCCGGAAUUAUUGGGCGUAAAGCUUACGCAGGCGGUUUCUUAAGUCUGAUGUGAAAGCCCACGGCUCAACCGUGGAGGGUCAUUGGAAACUGGGGAACUUGAGUACAGAAGAGGAGAGUGGAAUUCCACGUGUGGCGGUGAAAUGCGUAGAGAUGUGGAGGAACACCAGUGGCGAAGGCGACUCUCUGGUCUGUAACUGACGCUGAGGUACGAAAGCGUGGGGAGCGAACAGG
rnacentral:misc_RNA from 1 species